rnacentral:rRNA from 1 species
AAAUUGAAGAGUUUGAUCAUGGCUCAGAUUGAACGCUGGCGGCAGGCCUAACACAUGCAAGUCGAACGGUAGCACAGAGAGCUUGCUCUCGGGUGACGAGUGGCGGACGGGUGAGUAAUGUCUGGGAAACUGCCCGAUGGAGGGGGAUAACUACUGGAAACGGUAGCUAAUACCGCAUAACGUCGCAAGACCAAAGUGGGGGACCUUCGGGCCUCACACCAUCGGAUGUGCCCAGAUGGGAUUAGCUAGUAGGUGGGGUAACGGCUCACCUAGGCGACGAUCCCUAGCUGGUCUGAGAGGAUGACCAGCCACACUGGAACUGAGACACGGUCCAGACUCCUACGGGAGGCAGCAGUGGGGAAUAUUGCACAAUGGGCGCAAGCCUGAUGCAGCCAUGCCGCGUGUAUGAAGAAGGCCUUCGGGUUGUAAAGUACUUUCAGCGAGGAGGAAGGCGUUGUGGUUAAUAACCACAGCGAUUGACGUUACUCGCAGAAGAAGCACCGGCUAACUCCGUGCCAGCAGCCGCGGUAAUACGGAGGGUGCAAGCGUUAAUCGGAAUUACUGGGCGUAAAGCGCACGCAGGCGGUUUGUUAAGUCAGAUGUGAAAUCCCCGGGCUCAACCUGGGAACUGCAUUUGAAACUGGCAAGCUUGAGUCUCGUAGAGGGGGGUAGAAUUCCAGGUGUAGCGGUGAAAUGCGUAGAGAUCUGGAGGAAUACCGGUGGCGAAGGCGGCCCCCUGGACAAAGACUGACGCUCAGGUGCGAAAGCGUGGGGAGCAAACAGGAUUAGAUACCCUGGUAGUCCACGCCGUAAACGAUGUCUACUUGGAGGUUGUGCCCUUGAGGCGUGGCUUCCGGAGCUAACGCGUUAAGUAGACCGCCUGGGGAGUACGGCCGCAAGGUUAAAACUCAAAUGAAUUGACGGGGGCCCGCACAAGCGGUGGAGCAUGUGGUUUAAUUCGAUGCAACGCGAAGAACCUUACCUGGUCUUGACAUCCACGGAAGUUUUCAGAGAUGAGAAUGUGCCUUCGGGAACCGUGAGACAGGUGCUGCAUGGCUGUCGUCAGCUCGUGUUGUGAAAUGUUGGGUUAAGUCCCGCAACGAGCGCAACCCUUAUCCUUUGUUGCCAGCGGUUAGGCCGGGAACUCAAAGGAGACUGCCAGUGAUAAACUGGAGGAAGGUGGGGAUGACGUC